rnacentral:rRNA from 1 species
CCUACGGGAGUCAGCAGUGGGGAAUAUUGCACAAUGGGGGAAACCCUGAUGCAGCGACGCCGCGUGAGUGAAGAAGUAUUUCGUUACGUAAAGCUCUAUCAGCAGGGAAGAAAAUGACGGUACCUGAGUAAGAAGCCCCGGCUAACUCGGUGCCAGCAGCCGCGGUCAUACGUAGGGGGCAAGCGUUAUCCGGAUUUACUGGGUGUAAAGGGAGCGUAGACGGUGGGGCAAGUCUGAAGUGAAAUGCCGCGGCUUAACUGUGGAACUGCUUUGGAAACUGGCGAGCUAGAGUGAAGGAGAGGUAAGCGGAAUUCCUAGUGUAGCGGUGAAAUGCGUAGAUAUUAGGAGGAACACCAGUGGCGAAGGCGGCUUACUGGACCGUAACUGACGUUGAGGCUCGAAAGCGUGGGGAGCAAACAGGAUUAGAUACCCUAGUAGUC